UACGUAGGGAGCAAGCGUUGUCCGGAAUCAUUGGGCGUAAAGCGCGCGUAGGCGGCCCGAUAAGUCCGCUGUGAAAGUCAACGGCUCAACUGUUGGAUGCCGGUGGAUACUGUCGGGCUAGAGUACGGAAGAGGCAAGUGGAAUUCCUGGUGUAGCGGUGGAAUGCGCAGAUAUCAGGAGGAACACCUAUAGCGAAGGCAGCUUGCUGGGACGUUACUGACGCUAAGGCGCGAAAGCG
rnacentral:rRNA from 1 species